rnacentral:lncRNA from 1 species
GCCCACUUCCUACUGGGUCCUCAUCAGAAGACUUGGGAACCUGUUGUACAUUCUUACGACAAUGUCAAUCAUCUGAAUGCAUCGGGUUGAGGCUGCUGAGAGAAGGAGAGCUUCUCUAAUGUGAACAUGAAAGUAUACGUGUCCAGAUUCACGCAGGAAUGUGGUUUGAAAAGGAAUCAGAAACAGCCUUUCUUUUCCAUUCCUGAACUGCCCUGGGCGCCACAAAGUCACAGAUUUGAACCACUGCAGAGCUAUUUGGUGGAAAGGAAGUCACUAUCUACGAGGAGUCAUAGAUGAAAUGACGUGAAUCAUGCAUGAGUUUCUCUAGCUGCCUCCGGAGUCUAAGCCUGGGGGCAUGGCCGAAUUCUCAAGCAUCUGCCCCAUGAGGAUGACUCGGUUUUACUGGAUUGACCACCUAGAUGAUGCGAUAUUUCCAGAAACUUGGGGAUCCAUCACAGAACAGUACUUGAAUUGUCUAUGAGCCAACUCUAUGCCUCACAACAUAAAUCAGCUGGAAGUUAAAAGUCACCACAAGUCAUGUAAACCUACAUCCAGGAUUGAGAAUUGUUUUUGAUUUAAUACAUUUCACAGUUCUUGAGGAUGGUUUAGACUCCUAAAUACCAAUAAUCUCUUGACUUGACCACAUCUGAUUAAAGACUAAUUUUAGGCCUCUAACUGUGUAUUAUGAUCUGAAAAUAGUGCUUUGGACUGUUUUUAUGUUUCUGAUAAAUAUCUACACGUUCGAAUAGCUAACGCAUUUACCAUUAAAAAAUGUCAUGCAGCAGCACGCACCGUGUAUGUAUUUCUGAUGGAAUGGUUUACAAAUGAAAAAAAAAAUUAAACACCCUCAUCUCUUAAAGCCAUGCCUGGGCUUAACUUCUCUGGAUUAUUCUACAUAUUCCAAAGCGUUUAUCCUUUGAACUCACUUUUCUUUCAAUUUCCAGCCAAAUAAUUUUUAUUUAAAUUCAACACAUCUUAAGGCUCACGUUCCUGAGUCCAGCGUGAAAGAAAAAGUCCUUCAGGGCUCACUGCCAUUUGCCAAGCUGAAAUGAUUGACACACCCUGUGACCAAGGAGGGCCCAGCCUUUCCUGUUUCAGAAUAUUAGCCCCUCUCCCACCUCUGCCCCCCAGGUUUUUUUCUUGCUCCCCUUCUCCUCACAGGCCCCCUCCCCUCGCUGCAAGUGAUCCUUUGAAAUUACCAUUUUAAUGGAUAAAUAUAGAAGAAGAAAAACAUGAACUUCUCUAAGAAGAGGAAACUCUGGUCAGCAUUUCCUUCACAGAAAUACCUCAGCCUUCAUCCGGAAGC